rnacentral:rRNA from 1 species
UACGGAAGGCAGCAGUAGGGAAUCUUCCGCAAUGGACGAAAGUCUGACGGAGCAACGCCGCGUGAACGAUGAAGGCUUUCGGGUCGUAAAGUUCUGUUGUUAGGGAAGAACAAGUACCGGAGUAACUGCCGGUACCUUGACGGUACCUAACCAGAAAGCCACGGCUAACUACGUGCCAGCAGCCGCGGUAAUACGUAGGUGGCAAGCGUUGUCCGGAAUUAUUGGGCGUAAAGCGCGCGCAGGCGGUCCUUUAAGUCUGAUGUGAGGCCCACGGCUCAACCGUGGAGGGUCAUUGGAAACUGGGGGACUUGAGUGCAGAAGAGGAGAGUGGAAUUCCACGUGUAGCGGUGAAAUGCGUAGAGAUGUGGAGGAACACCAGUGGCGAAGGCGACUCUCUGGUCUGUAACUGACGCUGAGGCGCGAAAGCGUGGGGAGCGAACAGGGAUUAGAUAC